GGCAGUCGUAGCUCAGUGGUUAAGAUGUUGGACUACUGAUUGGAAGGUCAUGAGUUCAACUGCCAAGCUGCCA